AUUGAACGCUGGCGGCAUGCCUUACACAUGCAAGUCGAACGGCAGCAUGGGUGCUUGCACCUGAUGGCGAGUGGCGAACGGGUGAGUAAUGCAUCGGAACGUACCCGGAAGUGGGGGAUAACGUAGCGAAAGUUACGCUAAUACCGCAUAUUCUGUGAGCAGGAAAGCGGGGGAUCGCAAGACCUCGCGCUUCCGGAGCGGCCGAUGUCGGAUUAGCUAGUUGGCGGGGUAAAGGCCCACCAAGGCAACGAUCCGUAGCGGGUCUGAGAGGAUGAUCCGCCACACUGGGACUGAGACACGGCCCAGACUCCUACGGGAGGCAGCAGUGGGGAAUUUUGGACAAUGGGCGCAAGCCUGAUCCAGCCAUGCCGCGUGAGUGAAGAAGG
rnacentral:rRNA from 1 species